AGAUUUCAAAACUCAGGUUAAGUUUAUUAAGUAGAGCUGUAACAAUUCUAAAUUUUGCUGUACAAUUAACUGUCUCGGAAAUAAUUGCGAUUAACAAAAUAAGUGUCAAUUACAGGUUCA